ensembl:lncRNA novel transcript
GUGGAGGAGGGACAGACAGAGGAGGCUCGUGCAGGGGAACGCCAGCCAAGGAGGGAGCGCCUGCUCCAAGGGAGGGGGCAUUUGAGGCACAGAUCAAAUGAUUCCAUGAUGACAAACUGCCUGUCUCAACUGACCAGAUUCCACUGGCAAACACUCCGCUGACCUUGGGCAGCUCCCUCUGCUCCCACCUCCUCUGGCCCUUGUGCUUCUGGGGCUUUGUGGAGUAGCUGGACAUCAAUGAUAACACUAACAGUAGCCGGCCUGCCACCAAGUUCUUUACAUAGGGGAUGCCUAUGUCUGUGCUUCAUUGGCGUCAUCUCACAAGGCCCUGAGCUGGCAGGAAAUUGAGGUCUCAAGGGGAAAAGCCACCUGCCCCCAGUGACAACCAGGAAGUGCAAGACUCUGACCCAACGCCCAUGCCUGCCAUCCCCAAACAUGGGCUCAAAACCCCCUUCCCAGGGACGGCUGUGUCCACCCCUCAGCAGGAGGAGGAGACCCCACAGCACCGGGUGAGAGGUCCUGCUGGAUGCUAAGCACCGAAACCUCAACCCGGAACAAGACCAGAACAACCUGAGCAACAACAGGACCAGCGAUGGCUCUCCCUGCUGGAGGAUUCUGGAAGUCACCUGGCUGGACCAAGCCCUCUCCGUGUUCUCUGUCAGCCCACUCCCCAGAGCCGCUAGGCCUGAUGUGCACAAGCAGACUAAUAAAGGCUUGAGGACAAAAAG